CCAGACACCCGGACUCCAAGGUGCGUUUCUCCUCCCUGCUCAUGCUGAUGGAGGUGGCGUCCAAACUGAAGGAGAACUACAUGGUGCUGCUUCCAGAAACCAUCCCCUUCCUGGCCGAGCUCAUGGAGGAUGAGUGCGAGGAGGUGGAGCAGCAGGUCCAGAAGGUGGUGCAGGAGAUGGAGAACAUCCUGGGAGAGCCGCUGCAGAGUUACUUCUAACCCACACACACACACACACACACACACACACACACACACACACACACACUAUAUCUCGAUCAUGUGACCUGUUGUUGUUUGAAAAUAAAUAAAUAAACUCAGAU